AUGCAAGUCGAGCGGGGGAAGGUAGCUUGCUACCGGACCUAGCGGCGGACGGGUGAGUAAUGCUUAGGAAUCUGCCUAUUAGUGGGGGACAACAUCUCGAAAGGGAUGCUAAUACCGCAUACGUCCUACGGGAGAAAGCAGGGGAUCUUCGGACCUUGCGCUAAUAGAUGAGCCUAAGUCGGAUUAGCUAGUUGGUGGGGUAAAGGCCUACCAAGGCGACGAUCUGUAGCGGGUCUGAGAGGAUGAUCCGCCACACUGGGACUGAGACACGGCCCAGACUCCUACGGGAGGCAGCAGUGGGGAAUAUUGGACAAUGGGGGGAACCCUGAUCCAGCCAUGCCGCGUGUGUGAAGAAGGCCUUAUGGUUGUAAAGCACUUUAAGCGAGGAGGAGGCUACUUUAGUUAAUACCUAGAGAUAGUGGACGUUACUCGCAGAAUAAGCACCGGCUAACUCUGGGCCAGCAGCCGCGGUAAUACAGAGGGUGCGAGCGUUAAUCGGAUUUACUGGGCGUAAAGCGUGCGUAGGCGGCUUAUUAAGUCGGAUGUGAAAUCCCCGAGCUUAACUUGGGAAUUGCAUUCGAUACUGGUGAGCUAGAGUAUGGGA
rnacentral:rRNA from 1 species